AGAGUUUGAUCCUGGCUCAGAACGAACGCUGGCGGCGCGCCUAAUACAUGCAAGUCGAGCGAGAAGGUGUAGCAAUACACUUGUAAAGCGGCGAACGGGUGAGGAAUACAUGGGUAAUCUACCAUCGAGUGGGGAAUAACCAACCGAAAGGUUGGCUAAUACCGCGUACGCCUCCGGAUCUUCGGGUUCGGAGGGAAAGCUGCACUGAGAGUGUAGCGCUCUUUGAUGAGCUCAUGUCCUAUCAGCUUGUUGGUAGGGUAACGGCCUACCAAGGCUUUGACGGGUAGCUGGUCUGAGAGGACGAUCAGCCACACUGGCACUGCGACACGGGCCAGACUCCUACGGGAGGCAGCAGUAAGGAAUAUUGCGCAAUGGGCGAAAGCCUGACGCAGCGACGCCGCGUGGGGGAUGAAGGUCUUCGGAUUGUAAACCCCUUUCGGGAGGGAAGAUGGAACGAGCAAUCGUUCGGACGGUACCUCCAGAAGCAGCCACGGCCAACUUCGUGCCAGCCGCCGCGGUAA
rnacentral:rRNA from 1 species